CCCCCUCCUCCCGACCCAUCCCGCCCGGCCCAGUGAGCUAAUCCGCAGCUGGCGGGCGCCCGGCCGGUUGCCACGGCAACCCCUCUCCCAGGGCCCGGCCCCGCGCGGAGCUGCGGUAAACAGGACCUUCUGCCGGACUCGCCCCCUCGCCUCUCGGGAUGGGGGAGAGGUGGCUUAACCCUUCCUGGGAGGACGCCCGCCGCGCGCCGGCUCCAUUCCACCCAGGCCCGGGCGGAUUCGCGAGGUGCUUCCGGCCCGAGGCUUAGACCUGGACGUCCAAGCCCGGGGAACGGCGGCCGCAUGCCCGGCCCCGCUUACUCUAGGCAGUUAACACACUCUCAGCACCGGGCCGGGGCCGGGGGCACCUCGGGCAGUGAGUCAGGCACCACCCUUGCCCCAGGCAGCUUGCCGUCGGGCCGGGGUAAUGACAGUCAGGAGACCGGCGAUGCAGAAUACAGGAGGACAGUCAGGCCAGUGAAUCCAACUCUUCUGUGUGGACUUCUGUGCACAGGAUGAAAGGCACCUACCUCUUGCUUCUGAGAGCCUUCCCUGCCUACUUUCUGGCCCAACGAGGCAAUCUCUUCAGAGUCAGGAGAAGGAGUGAGGCUGAUCUUGAACUCCUAGUUUUGAGAGAUCUUCCUGCUCUGUCUGGCCUCCCAGUGUUCUAGGAUUACAGGUGUGUCAGCCACGGUGCACAGCCGCCCAGGUGUUUUUGGUGGAGGUGGCUCAAGUCCCCACCAGAGACACACUGGUUUAGAGCCUGCUCAGGGGGAACAAAGACGUUGAAGCUGCAGCAGAGACAGAGUCUUGCUAUAUUGCCCCGGCUGGUCUGAAACUCCUGUGCUCAAGCAAUCCUCCCACUUUGGUCUCCCGAUGUGCUGAGAAUACAGAUGUGGGCCACCAUGCCUGGCUGACACUUGGCAAUGUUUGAAGAUAUUUUAUUAUCAUAAUUGGGAAAGGGAAGUGCUAUGGUCUGAACGUGUCCGCCUCCAAAAUUCAUAUGUUGAAAUCCUAACCCCCAAAGUGAUGGAAGUGAGAAGGCGGCGGUCUGCAGCCCAGAAGCAGGACCUCCCCAGAACCCAACCAUGCUGCACCUGGAUCCUGGACUUUUCAGCCUCCAGGACUGUGAGAAAGAAAUAUUUGCUGUUUCUUUUUUUUUUUUUUUUUUUUUUUUUUUUGAGACAGAGUCUCACUCUGUCACCCAGGCUGGAGUGCGGUGGCCCAAUCUCGGCUCACUGCAAGCUCUGCCUCCUGGGUUCACGCCAUUCUCCUGCCUCAGCCUCCCGAGUAGCUGGGACUACAGGCGCCCGCCACCACGCCCAGCUAAUUUUUUGUAUUUUUAGUAGAGACGGGGUUUCACCGUGUUAGCCAGGAUGGUCUCUAUUUCCUGACCUCGUGAUCCUCCCGCCUCGGCCUCCCAAAGUGCUGGCAUUACAGGCGUGAGCCACUGCGCCCGGCCAAUAAAUAUUUGCUGUUUCUAAGCCACACAGUUCAUGGUAUUUUGUUAUAUAGCAGCUCAAACGGACUAAGACAGGGAGUGUUUCUGGCAUCAAGUGGGUAAAGGCCAGACAUGCUGCCGAACAUCCUCCAAAGCACAGGACAGCCUCCCUCUCCACACACGACGAAGAAUUGUCUUGUCUGGAAUGCCUAAAAUGCAGAGGCCGGGAAGCCCAGAGCCAGCCCAUUCCCCACCUCCACCAUCUUCCCCUUGAACUAGUACUUGCCCUGCAUCACAUCUGCUGGGUAGCGAUGUUACACGCGAGCUGCUAAACCCGGUCAUGUGGUUCACGUGGAAAGACAAGCAAAGCCAGAUGGGCUUUUGCAGAGUUCCCCUUCCCUUGCCUCCCGGUUGGGUCUGGGAACCUCCUGGAAGCGUGUGUUAUCCUUCCCGAGUGAAUGGUGCCACCUAGUGGAAAUAGAGUUAACAACACCAGCAGGAGCAUUUCAUACACCUGGAAACCUAAAAAUUAGCUAGCUUUCCACUGUGGAGAAGAUUCAAUGGGGAUCAACGAAAGCCACCCAAAUGAGGAAGGCAGAGGCUAUUUAUUUAGCGUUUUCUAUGGCCAGACAGUCAGCCACCAUCACUUGCCUUUGGCAGAGAGUCAAAUAUAACUGGAGACUCAAAUGCUAGUGGGAAAGGCUUCUAUAGGUUUCAGGUGGGCUCUAAUUGGAAGAUGUUGGCAGGGGGAAGGUGCAGGCAGCAGCAUCUUAUGUGAUGGGUUUGGAGAGGAUUUUUGGCUUUCUUGGCUUGGUCCUGAGUUGGAAGUGUCAGUGAGAAUUAGGGCAGCAGGCAGUCAUUGAGCAAAUCCUGACGUUCUGGGCCUAUCGCUGUAGAAGGUUGGCUUGGCUCCUGCCCCGGUUGCUGCAAAGGUUGUCGGUCACAGCCUCUGAAUAUGCAAAGAGUCAAUGACCAUAUAUGACACUAGACAUAGAAAUGCAUAGUUAUAUAUGGCCAUUGUCUCUUUGCAUAUUCAGUCUCUUAAUUCAUUAAACAUUCUAAAUAUAUCCAUCCCUCCUGUUACUAAUCCUGAAACAGAUUGCAUAAAGUUACCCAUGUGAGCAGCAGGUUGACUCCAAGCCAGCAUCUGUGAUUUUCAAUGGUUGCCCUUAUAAACUUUGAUUUAGGGUUCAUAUGUGAUAGAACUGUUUUUGUUUUGUUUUGUUUUGUUUUGUUACUGCCCAUGUUGCCUUCAUAUGUAUGACAUAAUUCUCCUAACUGACAUGGGCCUCAGUAAUAAUCUCUCAACUUCACCUGUGUGGGAGCUGACUCUAGCUCUUUACAAUGCUACACUUUCACCACUGCCACCACCAUCACCAGUCAUUUGGUGGUGGUGAUGGUGGUGGAUGGUAACAGUGGUGGUAAUGAUGGUGGUGAUGGUUAUGGUGGGCCUAUUGCUGCAGAGAUCGUAGGUCACCACCAUCACUGUCACCGUUACCACCACCACUAUCAUUAUGAUCACCACCACUUUUGUCACCACCACCACCGGUCACCACCAACACCGUCACCAGCACCACUGUCACCACCACCACUAUCACCAUCACCAUUAUCACCAUCACCACCACCACCAUUACCAAUAUCAUUGCCACCACCAUUGCCACUGUCACCACCAUCACUGUCACCAUCAUCACCAUCACCACCGCCACUGUUACCAUCACUACCACUAUUAUCACCACCACUACCACCAACAUCAACAAUACCACUACCAUUACCAAUAUCAAUGCCACCACCAUUACUGUCACCACUAUCAUCACUGUCACCACCAUCACUCACCACUAUCAUCCCCAUCACCACCACUACCACUGUCACCACCACCACGACCACCAUUACCAUCACCACCAACAUAACCACUGCCCCAUUACCAACAUCAAUACCACCACCAUCACCAUUGUCACCGCCAUCACCACCACCACUGUUACCACCCACUACCAUUACCUUGGCCACCACCACCACCAUCUUCACCACCACCACAACCAUCUUCACCACCACCACCAUAUUCACCACUACCACUAUCUACAAGGUCAAUGGUUCUCAAAAUGUUUUCCCCAAACCAACAGCAUCAGCAUCAUAUAGUAACUGUUAGAAAUGCACAUUCUUGGGCCUCACCCCAGACCUACAAAAAUCAGCAAUGGGGUGGGGCCAGCCCUCCAACUAAUUCUGAUGGAUGCUAAAGUUUGAGAGCCACCAUUCUAGAUAAAUUUCUAGGAUGCCCGCAAGGGCCUUAUUUUCAGUCAGAACUUCCACAAUGUAUCCUUUAAAUUUGUGAAAAUUUGCUUGUCUUAUGAAGUAGUCAGAGAAACAAGACGACCUUUAUCUAGGUAAUAUUGAGGCAGAAAUUCAAGGAAAAAUAAAUCCACUGAGCUGGUGUGCACCUUAAAAUAAUUAUCCUCCUAUAUUCACCCAUACUUGUCUAGUCCCCUGCAUCCCGCAACAUUUCUUGGCGAGCCAGCCAGGAGGAGUGGAGACGGCAGAUCUACUGUCUCCUUUCCCUAUGGGGCUGGAGCCCCGGGCCAGGGGAGACCUGUGACCCCAGGUGCCACCAGGAGAACUUCAGCCUGGAGGGGUGAAAUCAGCUCUCCUGUGACCCAGCACCCCUACCCAGCAGCACAACGGAACCUGAGAGGGGCUACAGGACAAUUCCAGAAACAGCGUGCUUCAGGAACUGCGGUAAGGUAUUGGGGCCCAAGGCAGGACGCGUCUCAUAAGGAUAGAAGGGGAGCCUUCCCAGGGUGUGACUGGUAGUCUGACCCAGACGGGUUAGGGGCAGCAAGAACAGGUCGCCAAUUUGGAUGGAACUCACACCCCAACCAACACCGGAUGUGAGAGUGGCUCGCUAAGUUGGUUAGGAAAAGGAAACUGGAGGCGGCAAGAGUGGCUCACCAUCCCAAUUAGGAACACAGGAACUGGGAACAGGGAGGUGUGUGAAAGUGUGUGAGAGAUGGUUCCUGGAGAAACCAAUGUGGGGAGUGAUGUGGGGAGUCACAGAUCUCUUAGCAUGGACUGUGUGCUCCAAGCAAAGUGUGGGGCCAAGCUGGACUAGUGGCGAACCACAUAUGGCUAAUAGGAGCUGCCCCACAGCUCAGAAUUGUGGUGGGAAUAAGGACCUCUCCAAAGCCAAGUGGUGUCUGGAAACUCCCGUAAUAGAAGGUCUGGUUGGUCUGAGGCAAAAGGAAGAGUGGGUAUGCUGCAUCAUAAAGGGAGGAAAUAGGAGGAAAGUCAUCAAAACCCACUCCACUGGAGUGCAUGUUACAAAACUUUAAGAAAGGUUUUGCAGGGGAUUAUGGAGUUAAGCUGACCCCCCAAAGGUUGAGAACUCUCUGUGAACUAGAAUGGCCUUCUUUUGGAGUUGGAUGGCCGACCGAAGGAACUACAGACAGGGAAAUAAUUGGCCGUGUAUUUAGGGUGGUGACAGGGGUCGGAGGACAGCCUGGGCAUCCAGAUCAAUUUCCUUACAUUAACUCAUGGUUAAAUAUAGUACAAACAAGACCAGCCUGGAUCCAGCCCUGUUUAGUGGCUCAUUGCAAAACACUUGUGGCCCAAGCUGAGCCAAGUGAAAGUAAGAGCAGGUUCGCCGGCAGACACAGAGUUAAAGGGGAAGUCCCAGAGGGAACAAGAAAGGCCAGUUUUGCAGGAGCUGCCAGAGGGAACAGAGAUUCCUCCUCCAUAUGUCCCAGCCUGGCCCCCUUUACUGAGGCCAACAGCCCCCCAGGAACCAAAUUCAGGAGCUAGCACACCCCAAGUUUCACCCCAAAGGGAAGAAUCAGAGCCUUGAGAGGCCAGGGAAGGAAAUCAAGAUAGUCGAGCAGGGUGUCUCAGAUCUGGCUGUGCUCAAGCAUGUAAAUGCCUCUCAGGGAGACGUGAGGACCCAUUUAUUAUGAUGACCAAGGCCAAGUCCAAGGGGGGCAACAGAUUUUCAUCUAUGAGCCCUUUUCAACCACUAAUCUCUUAAACUGGAAACACCAUACUCCCUCCUAUACAGAGAAGCCCCAAGCUCUUGUAGAUCUGAUGCAGUCCAUCUUUCUGACACACAAUCCAACCUGGCCAGACUGCAGGCAGCUUCUUCUCACGCUGUUUAACACUGAGGACCGCAGGAGAGUAACCCAGCAACUCUCCGCUGGCUAGAAGCCCAUGCACCAGCAGAUGCAGUGAAUGCUCAGGCAUACGCUCAGGGCCAGUUCCCAGACCAAGAUCCCAACUGGGACCCAGAAGAUGCGACCCAGCUUCAGCAUUUGCAGAGGUACCGAAGACACUUCUGAAAGGGCUAAGAGAUGGUGGAAAAAGGGCAAUCAAUAAGAAAAGAUCUCAGGGAUGCUUCAGGGAAGUGAUGAGAGCCCUAGCCAGUUUUAUGAAAGACUCUGAGAUAUACUGGCUUUUCACCCCAUUUGACCCUGAAGCUGUUGAAAAUCAGCGUAUGGUAAAUAUAUCAUUUGUAGGACAGGCCCAGGGUGACAUAAAGCGAAACCUUCAGAAACUGGAAGGUUUCGCAGGCAUGAAUGCCACCCAGCUUAUAGAAGUAGCCACCAGGCUACUUCUAUAAGUAGGAGGGUGGAGGAUUACAGGUGGGAUCACACCUGUAAUCCCAGCACUUUGGGAGGCCGAGGCGGGCAGAUCACAAGGUCAGGAGAUUGAGACCAUCCUGGCUAACACGGUGAAACCCUGUCUCUACUAAAAAUACUCGGGAGGCUGAGGCAGGAGAAUGGUGUGAACCUAGGAGGCAGAGCUUGCAGUUAGCUGAGAUCGCACCACUGCACUCCAGUCUGGGUGACAGAGCGAGACUCCGUCUCAAAAAACAAACAAACAAAAAGAAGUAGCCACCAAAGUGUAUGUUAACCAUGACCAGGAGGCAAAGAAGGAAGCAGAUCGGAGGCUUAAAAAGAAAGCCGAUCUGUUAGCAACAGCCCUCAUAGAGAGAGACACUAGCAAUGUGAGAGGAUGAGGAAGUGGACGUGGACAUGGACAUGGAAGAGGCCAAGACAAGGAUUCGAGAGCUGACCAAGGUUAGAGAAGGAUCAAUGUGCACAAUGCAAAAAGAAAGGACACUGGAAGGAUAAAUGUCCAUAAGGCAAUGAGGGAAAUGGCCAAGGCCGAGAGACAAAGAGGCCACCGGCCAGGGGCUGCCACACCCUGGCAGAACCAGAUACUGAUCUGAUCAGGCUGGCAGGGGCUGAAAGAUGUGAGGACUAGGACAGACCGCACUCCUUCUCAUUGGGCCUUCAGGAGCCUAUGGUCACAUUAAAAGUUGGAAGCCGUUCAGUGGACUUUAUGGUAGAUACUGGGGCUGAACACUCUGUAGUAACUCAACCCAUAGGGCCACUAAAAACUAUACAACUAUUGUAGGGGCUACUGAAGUCUCAGAGAGGAGGCCAUUCUGCCGGUCAAGGAGUUGUGUUAUAGGAGGACGAGAAGUCCAGCAUAAAUUACUAUACUUCCCAAAUUGUCCAGUUCCCUUGUUAGGGAGAGACCCACUCCAAAAACUGCAAACACGGAUUACUUUUGGCCCGCAGGGAGGUAUAACUUUAAAUCUGACUGACCCAAAGGCCAUGGUGUUAACCUUUACUGUCCUGCAGGCUGAGGAGUGGAGACUUUAUAAAAAGAGAUUUCAGGCACCAAUGCAACCUCAUACACAAGAGGAAGAAAAAUUAUUAUUUCAGUUAGUUAAAGAAAUGACUGGAGUAUGGGCUGAGGACAACCCACCUGGGUUAGCUGUAAAUCAUGCACCAGUAGUAGUAGAAUUAAAACCAGGAGCAGAUCCUGUUCAGGUUCAUCAGUACCCAGUUACCCAAAAGGCUGUAUGGGGCAUCUGUAAACACUUACAGCCGCUCUAUAAACAGGGGAUUUUAGUCCAAUGCCAGUUGCCCUGGAAUACUGUACUUUUGCCAGUACAAAAGCCACUACCAGGACCAGGGUCUGAUGAAUAUAGACCAGUGCAGGACUUGCGUGCCAUAAACUGGGCCACAGUAACCAUCCAUCCAGUGGUACCCAACCUGUAUAAUUUAAUGGAACUCAUUUCAGCAAGUGCUACCUGGUUUACGAUCUUAGACUUAAAGGAUGCUUUCCUUCAUAUCUGCAUGGUACCAGUUAGUCAGCCUAUCUUUGCAUUUCAAUGGGACAAAGAAGCUACCCAGCUCACCUGGACUAGGUUCCUGCAAGGGUUUAAAAACUUUCCCACAAUCUUUGGGGAAGCAUUGGCCUCAGACCUCAAGGCCUAUACCCUGCCAAAUGAUAACUGUGCCUCGUUACAGUAUGUAGAUGACCUUCUUUUGGCGGCCCCAACCCAAGAGGACUGUUAUCAGGGAACCCAAGACCUCCUCCAUCUCCUAUGAAAAGCAGGUUGCAAAGUACCUAAAAGGAAAGCUCAAAUUUGGCCAGGUGCAGUGGCUCACGCCUGUAAUCCCAGCACUUUGGGAGGCUGAGGUGGGUGGAUCACGAGGUCAGGAGUUCAAGACCAGCCUGGCCAACAUGGUGAAACCCCAUCUCUACUAAACACACAAAAAAUUAGCCAGGUGUGGUGGCAGGUGCCUGUAAUCCCAGCUACUCAGGGGGCUGAGGGAGGAGAAUUGCUUGAACUCAGAGGGCGGAGGUUGCAGUGAGCUGAGAUCACACCACUGCACUCCAGCCUGGGCGACAGAUUGAGACUCCAUCUCAAAAACAAAACAAAACAAAACAAAAACCAAUUUGCCAUGAAGAGGUUAAAUAUCUAGGUUUCAUAGUGAGCCAGGGGGAACGCCGGCUUGGCGAUGAGCGGAAGCAAGCCAUUUGUGCACUUCCAACCCCGACCACCUGACGUCAAAUGAGAGAAUUUUUAGGGGCAGCAGGAUUCUGCUGCAUCUGGAUUCCAAAUUUUUCACUGAUGGCUAAGCCGUUAUAUGAAGCCACAAAGUGGGGAGAAAAAGAGCCCCUACUCUGGGAAACUAAUCAGGAAAUAGCAUUCAAACAGAACAAGGAAGCUUUGACCCAGUCCCCAGCCUUAGGACUACCAGACAUAACUAAGCCUUCCUUUCUAUAUGUUCGUGAACAAAAGGGAGUGGCUAUAAGGGUUCUGACUCAAGUUAUAGGAUCAUGGCAUCACCCAGUGGCAUAUUUAUCCAAACAACUGGACUCUGCGGUGCUAGGAUGGCUUGCUUUAACACAUUAGCCACCUCCGUCUUGUUGGCACAAGAGGCUAGUAAACUAACUCUGGGACAGCAGCUAACCAUCUGGGUGCUGCACUCAGUACAGCAGCUAAGCAUCUGGGUGCUACACUCAGUUAUAACUUCGAUAGACCAAAGAAGACACCACUGGUUGUCAAACCUGAGGAUGACUCAGUACCAAGGGCUUCUAUGUGAAAACGCUUACAGUAUUUUAGAAACAGUGAACAGCUUAAACCCGGCUACUCUGCUCCCAGUGGAACCAGGAGCUCCCCUCCAUGACUGUGUCAAAACAGUAGAUGAGGUAUUCUCUAGUUGAAAAGAUCUUAUGGACCAACCCCUCAGAGACCCAGAUGUCGAGUACUUCAUGGAUGGAAGCAGUUUUGUGCUAGAAGGGGUUCAACAUGCCGGGUAUACAGUGGUAACAUUAGACUCAGUAGUAGAAGCUCAGUCUCUGCCUACUGGAACAUCAGCUCAAAAGGCAGAAUUAAUAGCCCCAACAAGAGCACUGCUGCUAGCAAAAGACAAAAAGGUCAAUAUUGGCAGGGCGCAGUAGCUCACGCAUGUAAUCCCAGCAGUUUGGGAGGCCAAGGCGGGUGGAUCACGAGGUCAGGAGUUCGAGAUCAGCCUGGCCAACAUGGCGAAAACCCGUCUCUACCAAAAAUACAAAAAAAUUAGCUGGGCGUGAUGGCAGGUGUCUGCAAUCCCAGCUACUUGGGAGGCUGAGGCAGGAGAAUCGCUUGAACCUGGGAGGCGGAGGUUGCAGUGAGCUGAGAUCUUGCCACUGCACUCCAGUCUGGGUGAUAAGAGUGAAACUCCGUCUCAAAAAAAAAUAGCCAAUAUUUACACUGAUUCUAAAUACGCUUUUACUACAUUGCAUGUACAUGGAACUAUAUACAAAAAGAGAGGACUUUUAACAGCUGGAGGCAAAUAAAUAAAGUACAAGGAAAAAAUUCUACAGUUCUUAGAGGCUGCAUGGGCUCCAGAAAAAGUAGUUGUAAUGCACUGCAGAGGGCACCAAAAGGCAGGGAUGCCAGAAGCCAAAGGAAACAGAAAGACAGGCAGAGGGGCAAAGCGGGCAGCAAUGAUUAUGCCACAUUUUAAAGAGAAAGCCUUAGCUAUGCCUCUCCUCCCAGAACCUCCUCUCCAAGAAGACCCAACUUAUACUCCAAAUGAAAGAGCCUGGUUUGCCCAGGAAGCUGGAAAAUACAUUAAAGGAGGGUGGUGAAAAUUCUUCGAUGGAAAGUCAGCCAUUCCGGAGAUGUUAGCUCCUAAGUUUGUGAAACAAAUUCAUCAAGGAACUCAUAUGAAAAAAAGGGCACUAAAAAUGUUAUUAAAAUGUCAUUUAUAUGUGCCACGGGUCUCUGCCAUCACUUGAGCCGUCUGUAAACAAUAUUUAACCUGUGCUCAGAACAAUCUGCGACAGGGGCCCACACGGCCCCCAGGAGUUCAGGAAAUAGGAGCCAUGCCUUGUAAAAACUUACUUACAGACUUUACCGAACUGCCCCGUGCUGGGGGCUAUCGGUAUAUGCUAGUGCUUAUUUGCACCUUUCCAGGAUGGGUUGAGGCUUUCCCCACCAGGACAAAAAAAGCAUGAGAAGUGACUAAAGCACUGUUAAAAGACAUUAUCAGCCGGGCACGGUGGCUCAUGCCUGUAAUCCCAGCACUUUGGGAAACUAAGGCGGGCGGAUCACAAAGUCAGGAGAUUGAGACCAUCCUGGCUAACACGGUGAAACCCUGCCUGUAUUAAAAAUAUAAAAAAAUUAGCCGGGCGUGAUGGCGGGUGCCUGUAGUCCCAGCUACUCAGGAGGCUGAGACAAGAGAAUGGCGUGAACCCGAGAGGUGGAGCUUGCAGUGAGCCGAGAUCAGGCCACUGCACUCCAGCCUGGGCUACAGAGCAAGACUGUCUCAAAAAAAAAAAAGAAAAAAAAAAAAAAAAAGACAUUAUACCCAGGUUUGGACUGCCUCUGACUUUAGGAUCAGACAAUGGGCCGGCAUUUGUAGCUGAAAUAGUGCAAGAUUUAACAAGACUUUUUUUAAAUUUUCUUUUCUUUAUAUAUAUAUAUGUAUGUAUAUAUUUAUUAUACUUUAAGUUCUAGGGUACAUGUGCACAACUUGCAGGUUUGUUACAUAUGUAUACAUGUGCCAUGUUGGUGUGCUGCACCCAUUAACUCGUCAUUUAUAUUAGGUAUAUCUCCUAAUGCUAUCCCUCCCCCCUCCCCCCACCCCACAACAGGCCCAAGUGUGUGAUAUUCCCCUUCCUGUGUCCAAGUGUUCUCACUGUUCAAUUCCCACCUAUGAGUGAGAACAUGCAGUGUUUGGUUUUUGUCCUUGCAAUAGUUUGCUGAGAAUGAUGGUUUCCAGCUUCAUCCAUGUCCCUACAAAGGACAUGAACUCAUCAUUUUUUAUGGCUGCAUAGUAUUCCAUGGUGUAUAUGUGCCACAUUUUCUUAAUCCAGUCUAUCAUUGAUGGACAUUUGGGUUGGUUCCAAGUCUUCGCUAUUGUGAAUAGUGCUGCAAUAAACAUACGUGUGCAUGUAUCUUUAUAGCAGCAUGAUUUAUAAUCCUUUGGGUAUAUACCCAGUAAUGGGAUGGCUGGGUCAAAUGGUAUUUCUAGUUCUAGAUCCCUGAGGAAUCGCCACACUGACUUCCACAAUGGUUGAACUAGUUUACAGUCCUAUCAACAGUGUAAAAGUGUUCCUAUUUCUCCACAUCCUCUCCAGCACCUGUUGUUUCCUGACUUUUUAAUGAUCGCCAUUCUAACUGGUGUGAGAUGGUAUCUCAUUGUGGUUUUGAUUUGCAUUCUCUGAUGGCCAGUGAUGAUGAGCAUUUUUUCAUGUGUCUGCUGGCUGCAUAAAUGUCUUCUUUUGAGAAGUGUCUGCUCAUAUCCUUCGCCCACUUGUUGAUGGGGUUGUUUGUUUUUUUCUUGUAAACUUGUUUGAGUUCUUUGUAGAUUCUGGAUAUUAGCCCUUUGUCAGAUGAAUAGAUUGCAAAAAUUUUCUCCCAUUCUGUAGUUUGCCUGUUCACUCUGAUGGUAGUUUCUUUUGCUGUGCAGAAGCUCUUUAGUUUAGUUAGAUCCCAUUUGUCAAUUUUGGCUUUUUUUGCCAUUGCUUUUGCUGUUUUAGACAUGAAGUCCUUGCCCAUGCCUAUGUCCUUGCCCAUGCCUAUGUAUUGCCUAGGUUUUCUUCUAGGGUUUUUAUGGUUUUAGGUCUAACAUUUAAGUCUUUAAUCCAUCUUGAAUUAAUUUUUGUAUAAGGUGUAAGGAAGGGAUCCAGUUUCAGCUUUCUACAUAUGGCUAGCCAGUUUUCCCAGCACCAUUUGUUGAAUAGGGAAUCCUUUCCCCAUUUCUUGUAUUUGUCAGGUUUGUCAAAGAUCAGAUAGUUGUAGAUGUGUGGUAUUAUUUCUGAGGGCUCUGUUCUGUUCCAUUGGUCUGUAUCUCUGUUUUGGUUCCAGUACCAUGCUGUUUUCGUUACUGUAGCAGUUUCUUCCUUGCAUCGAUGGUCUUACAAUGUCUUUUUUUUUUAAUAGAUGCAGAAAAGGCCUUUGACAAAAUUCAAUAGUCCUUCAUGCUAAAAAGUCUCAAUAAAUUAGGUAUUGAUGGGAUGUAUCUCAAAAUAAUAAGAGCUAUUUAUGACAAACCCACAGCCAACAUCAUACUGAAUGGGCAAAAACUGGAAGCAUUCCCUUUGAAAACUGGCACAAGACAGGGAUGCCCGUCUUUGUAGUAUAGUUUGAAGCCAGGUGGCAUGAUGCCUCCAGCUUUGUUCUUUUGGCUUAGAAUUGUCUUGGCAAUGCGGGCUCUUUUUUGGUU